rnacentral:rRNA from 1 species
GACGAACGCUGGCGGCGUGCUUAACACAUGCAAGUCGAACGGAAAGGCCCUGCUUUUGUGGGGUGCUCGAGUGGCGAACGGGUGAGUAACACGUGAGUAACCUGCCCUUGACUUUGGGAUAACUUCAGGAAACUGGGGCUAAUACCGGAUAGGAGCUCCUGCUGCAUGGUGGGGGUUGGAAAGUUUCGGCGGUUGGGGAUGGACUCGCGGCUUAUCAGCUUGUUGGUGGGGUAGUGGCUUACCAAGGCUUUGACGGGUAGCCGGCCUGAGAGGGUGACCGGCCACAUUGGGACUGAGAUACGGCCCAGACUCCUAUGGGAGGCAGCAGUGGGGAAUAUUGCACAAUGGGCGGAAGCCUGAUGCAGCAACGCCGCGUGCGGGAUGACGGCCCUCGGGUUGUAAACCGCUUUCGCCUGUGACGAAGCGUGAGUGACGGUAAUGGGUAAAGAAGCACCGGCUAACUGCGUG